rnacentral:misc_RNA from 1 species
CGCACCUUGCGCUCCUUGGUAUUCCGAGGAGCAUGCCUGUUUGAGUGUCAUGUUAAUUCUCAAACCUUUGUGUUUGGUUUUGGAGGCCCUGCUUGUCUUAAAGCUCCUCUCAAAUGCAUUGGCUAACUUGGGCUGGAUUAUCUCAGUGUUGUAAUCUACUGCGCUGAAAAAACUAGCUUCGAGUGGCUUGAUUUAACAUUUCUUGUAAUCUGACCUCAAAUCAGGUAGGACUACCCGCUGAACUUAA